rnacentral:rRNA from 1 species
UACAGAGGGUGCGAGCGUUAAUCGGAAUUACUGGGCGUAAAGCGCACGUAGGUGGCGACGUAAGUCGGGUGUGAAAGCCCCGGGCUCAACCUGGGAAUUGCAGUGGAUACUGGCAGGCUGGAGUACGGUAGAGGAAGGUGGAAUUCCCGGUGUAGCAGUGAAAUGCGUAGAGAUCGGGAGGAACACCAGUGGCGAAGGCGGCCUUCUGGACCAGUACUGACGCUCAUGCACGAAAGCGUGGGGAGCAAGCAGG